CAGGCUUAACACAUGCAAGUCGAGGGGCAGCAUGGUCUUAUCUUGCUAAGACUGAUGGCGACCGGCGCACGGGUGAGUAACACGUAUCCAACCUGCCGUCUACUCUUGGACAGCCUUCUGAAAGGAAGAUUAAUACAAGAUGGCAUCAUGAGUCCGCAUGUUCACAUGAUUAAAGGUAUUCCGGUAGACGAUGGGGAUGCGUUCCAUUAGAUAGUAGGCGGGGUAACGGCCCACCUAGUCUUCGAUGGAUAGGGGUUCUGAGAGGAAGGUCCCCCACAUUGGAACUGAGACACGGUCCAAACUCCUACGGGAGGCAGCAGUGAGGAAUAUUGGUCAAUGGGCGAGAGCCUGAACCAGCCAAGUAGCGUGAAGGAUGACUGCCCUAUGGGUUGUAAACUUCUUUUAUAAAGGAAUAAAGUCGGGUAUGGAUACCCGUUUGCAUGUACUUUAUGAAUAAGGAUCGGCUAACUCCGUGCCAGCAGCCGCGGUAAUACGGAGGAUCCGAGCGUUAUCCGGAUUUAUUGGGUUUAAAGGGAGCGUAGAUGGAUGUUUAAGUCAGUUGUGAAAGUUUGCGGCUCAACCGUAAAAUUGCAGUUGAUACUGGAUAUCUUGAGUGCAGUUGAGGCAGGCGGAAUUCGUGGUGUAGCGGUGAAAUGCUUAGAUAUCACGAAGAACUCCGAUUGCGAAGGCAGCCUGCUAAGCUGCAACUGACAUUGAGGCUCGAAAGUGUGGGUAUCAAACAGGAUUAGAUACCCUGGUAGUCCACACGGUAAACGAUGAAUACUCGCUGUUUGCGAUAUACUGCAAGCGGCCAAGCGAAAGCGUUAAGUAUUCCACCUGGGGAGUACGCCGGCAACGGUGAAACUCAAAGGAAUUGACGGGGGCCCGCACAAGCGGAGGAACAUGUGGUUUAAUUCGAUGAUGCGCGAGGAACCUUACCCGGGCUUAAAUUGCAGAUGAAUUACGGUGAAAGCCGUAAGCCGCAAGGCAUCUGUGAAGGUGCUGCAUGGUUGUCGUCAGCUCGUGCCGUGAGGUGUCGGCUUAAGUGCCAUAACGAGCGCAACCCUUGCUGUCAGUUACUAACAGGUUCCGCUGAGGACUCUGACAAGACUGCCAUCGUAAGAUGUGAGGAAGGUGGGGAUGACGUCAAAUCAGCACGGCCCUUACGUCCGGGGCUACACACGUGUUACAAUGGGGGGUACAGAGGGCCGCUACCACGCGAGUGGAUGCCAAUCCCCAAAACCUCUCUCAGUUCGGACUGGAGUCUGCAACCCGACUCCACGAAGCUGGAUUCGCUAGUAAUCGCGCAUCAGCCACGGCGCGGUGAAUACGUUCCCGGGCCUUGUACACACCGCCCGUCAAGCCAUGGGAGCCGGGGGUACCUGAAGUGCGUAACCGCGAGGAGCGCCCUAGGGUAAAACUGGUGACUGG
rnacentral:rRNA from 1 species